CGGGUAGUAGCUCAGUGGUAGAGCUCCCGCUUCGUUUGCGGGAGGACCUGCGUUCGAUUCCCGACUGCUUAC
rnacentral:tRNA from 1 species